rnacentral:tRNA from 1 species
GGUUGUGGCUCAGAGGUAGAGUGCUCGUCUAGUAUGCGCGGGGCACUGGGUUUGAUCCUCAGCACCA